UUUUCCUUUUCUGCUUGACUUCCCUUUUCAUGGAAAGCUGCCUGUGUUACUGAAAGAUUACUGUUUGCAUUUAGUACAGAUUUGUUCUGGUUAAUAUUUUAUUAGUUGCUAUUUUUAGCUUUAAUAAAAGACUACUUCUAACUCUUUUCUCUCCGGCCUUUUGUAAAUAGGUUGUGUGCAAAUUGAAGUGGUUGGAAAAUCUAUUGGUCGUGCACAUUUUAAAAACUCUUUGUGAAAUAAAGUGUUGGACUCAGACUUCCAAGUGGCCACCAGUCUGGAGCAAAGUAUAUUGAGAAGUAAAAUGGUUUGUUUCUUCAACUGCUCAUCCCCUUUUGACAUCUGUUCCCUUGGAGGAUGCCAGUGCCCCAGGACCUGGUGCUGGAGAUAACGGCAGCUGGAGCUCACCAGCUUCUUGGACUCACAAAGGAACAAAACAAAACAAAACAAAACAAAACAGCUAAAGUAAGUAGAUCCUCAUUGCUCUGGGCCUGGUUUGCUGCCUGUCAUUCCUCAGGAGUUCCCUGGUCUACGGAGCCCAAGCUGUGCCAUUUAUAUCAGAGUGGUCCGUAAAUUCCAAGUUUCAAACCGUCCUUAAAUUCCUAGCUGCAUCAGAAUCACAUAAAUUCUGAACCCUCUUCUAGACCUACUAUGUUCAAAUUUGGGUGGGUCAAACUGCAUCAUUUCAAUAACCACAGGAUACGUCUAAAGGAAAAAAAAAAUGACAGUGACUCUGCUCACAUGGUAAAACCCCUGACUUCCAACCCAUCUUGAGUAUUCUACUUGGACAACCAGUCGCAAUUUUCAAAGGAUCUGACAUAUAUAACUUACCUUCCUGGAAAGAGUUAAAAAUCCCUGUCAUAAUUUAUGGCAAUAGAAUACGCAAAUUCAACAUAAUAUUUUCAGUGCUACUCAGAGAAUUACAUUAAAAGAGCUACAUUUAGGGCCACCUGGGUGGCUCAGUGGGUUGAGUGGGUUUUUUUUUUUUUUAAUCGGUAUUUCCAUCAACAAUGUGUCAGAGCACUUGAUCUGUUGUGUGUUAUUCUUUGACCUCUCAUAUGUUGCAAAUAUUUUUUGACCUUAACAUUUGUUUUACGUUUGUUUGUAGAGGAUUUGGGGAGAUGUUUUACUUUUUAACGUAGUCAGAUUCUUCAGUUAUCUCUUUGUAAUGUCUUUGUUUUGACUCUUAGAAAGAUGAUCCCCACUGAGGACUCAUAUUAAAAUGUACCUAUUUUUGUAGUCAUUUCUGUUCUUUGUUUUAAAGUUUAUUUAUUUUGAGAGAGACAGCCAAGUAGGGGAUGGGCAGAGGGAGAGAGAGAGAAUCCCAAGCAGGCUCUGUGCUGGUAGCACAGAGCCCAAAGCGGGGCUCGAACCCACAAAGCCGUGAGAUCAUGACCUGAGCCGAUACCAAGAAGGGUUGCCUAAUGACUGGGGCCCCAAGGCGCCCUUGUAGUCACUUCUUAUAUUCACUCUCCCCUAGCUGGAAUUUAUCUGAGCACAUAGCAGGAAGUUAAAAUUCAACAUGAGCUUUCCCUUAAAAUGGUAAGCAAUUCUUCUAGCAUAAUUUAUUGUAUAAUUCUUCCUUUGCCACUCACUUUUGGUGCUAAUUUUAUACACACACACUCAUAGUAAGGUCUUUUUUUUUUAAUGUUUAUUUUUUGAGACAGAGAGAGACAGAGACAGGGCAUGAGCAGGGGAGGGGCAGAGAGAGGGAGACACGGGAUGUGAAGCAGGCUCACAGCUGUCAGCACAGAGCCCGAUACAGGACCUGAACUCACAAAUUGAGAGAUCGUGACCCGAGCCGAAGUUGGACGCUCAACUGAUGGAGCCCCCCAGGCACCCCAGUAAGGUCUUAUUCUUGUACAUAUUUAGUUUCAUUGAUCUAUUAUACCGGAACUAUAUUAUUUUAAUUAUUGCAAAUUUUGAUUUAUUUUUUUAAGAUUUUAUUUUAGUUUAUUAAAAUGAUUUUUCAUGUCUAUUUUUGAGAGAGACUUCAGCUCAGAUCAUGAUCUCAUGGUUGAUGACUUUGAACCCCACAUCAGGCUUUGUGCUAUCAGAGCAGAACCUGUUUUGGAUUGUCUGUCCCCCCACCUCUCUCUCAAAAAAUAAAUAAAUAAACUUAAAAAAAAGUUACA
ensembl:lncRNA